rnacentral:rRNA from 1 species
AGAGUUUGAUCCUGGCUCAGAGUGAACGCUGGCGGCGUGCUUAACACAUGCAAGUCGAGCGAAUUCUGACAGUGUAUCGUCAGAGUCAGCGGCAGACGGGUGAGUAAUACUUAGGCAAUCUGCCCUCAAGAGGGAAACAACCUGCCGAAAGGCGGGCUAAUGUCCCAUAAGACCACAGGAUGGCAUUAUCCAGAGGUCAAAGCUCCGCAAGGGGCGCUAGAGGAGGAGCCUGAGUCCUAUCAUGGUAGUUGGUGAGGUAACGGCUCACCAAGCCUUUGACGGGUAGCCGGCCUGAAAGGGUGACCGGCCACACUGGCACUGAGACACGGGCCAGACUCCUACGGGAGGCAGCAGUGGGGAAUUUUGGACAAUGGGGGCAACCCUGAUCCAGCGACGCCGCGUGGAGGACGAAGGUCUUCGGAUUGUAAACUCCUUUUGGAGGGGAUGAAUGACUGCGUGAAUAACGCAGAGUGACAGUACUCUCUGAAUAAGCCACGGCUAACUACGUGCCAGCAGCCGCGGUAAUACGUAGGUGGCAAGCGUUACUCGGAAUCACUAGGCGUAAAGCGCAGGUAGGCGGUUCAGUAAGUCUCUUGUGAAAGCUCCCGGCUUAACUGGGAGAGGUCAAGGGAAACUGCUGGGCUAGAGUGUGGCAGAGGAAGCUGGAAUUCCCGGUGUAGCAGUGAAAUGCGUAGAGAUGUGGAGGAACACCAAUGGCGAAGGCAGCCCCCUGGGAUAACACUGACGCUCAUGUACGAAAGCGUGGGUAGCAAACAGGAUUAGAUACCCUGGUAGUCC